rnacentral:rRNA from 1 species
CAGGAUGGACCCGCGUCUGAUUAGCUAGUUGGUAAGGUAACGGCUUACCAAGGCGACGAUCAGUAGCCGACCUGAGAGGGUGAUCGGCCACAUUGGAACUGAGACACGGUCCAAACUCCUACGGGAGGCAGCAGUGGGGAAUAUUGCACAAUGGGCGAAAGCCUGAUGCAGCAACGCCGCGUGAGUGAUGAAGGCCUUCGGGUCGUAAAACUCUGUCCUCAAGGAAGAUAAUGACGGUACUUGAGGAGGAAGCCCCGGCUAACUACGUGCCAGCAGCCGCGGUAAUACGUAGGGGGCUAGCGUUAUCCGGAUUUACUGGGCGUAAAGGGUGCGUAGGCGGUCUUUCAAGUCAGGAGUGAAAGGCUACGGCUCAACCGUAGUAAGCUCUUGAAACUGGGAGACUUGAGUGCAGGAGAGGAGAGUGGAAUUCCUAGUGUAGCGGUGAAAUGCGUAGAUAUUAGGAGGAACACCAGUUGCGAAGGCGGCUCUCUGGACUGUAACUGACGCUGAGGCACGAAAGCGUGGGGAGCAAACAGGAUUAGAUACCCUGGUAGUCCACGCUGUAAACGAUGAGUACUAGGUGUCGGGGGUUACCCCCUUCGGUGCC